CCUACGGGAGGCUGCAGUGGGGAAUAUUGGACAAUGGGGGCAACCCUGAUCCAGCCAUGCCGCGUGUGUGAAGAAGGCCCUCGGGUUGUAAAGCACUUUCAGUGAGGAAGAACGCCUGGUGGUUAAUACCCAUCAGGAAAGACAUCACUCACAGAAGAAGCACCGGCUAACUCCGUGCCAGCAGCCGCGGUAAUACGGAGGGUGCGAGCGUUAAUCGGAAUUACUGGGCGUAAAGCGCGCGUAGGUGGCUUGAUAAGCCGGUUGUGAAAGCCCCGGGCUCAACCUGGGAACGGCAUCCGGAACUGUCGAGCUAGAGUGCAGGAGAGGAAGGUAGAAUUCCCAGUGUAGCGGUGAAAUGCGUAGAGAUCGGGAGGAAUACCAGUGGCGAAGGCGGCCUUCUGGACUGACACUGACACUGAGGUGCGAAAGCGUGGGUAGCAAACAGGAUUAGAUACCCUAGUAGUC
rnacentral:rRNA from 1 species